rnacentral:rRNA from 1 species
AUUGAACGCUGGCGGCAUGCCUAACACAUGCAAGUCGAACGGGUUGUAGCAAUACAACUAGUGGCGGACGGGUGAGGAAUACAUAGGAAUUUGCCUUUAGGUGGGGGAUAGCCCGGGGAAACUCGGAGUAAUACCGCAUGAUGUCGCAAGACCAAAGCCGGGGAUCGCAAGACCUGGCGCCUUUAGAGAAGCCUAUGUCUGAUUAGCUAGUUGGUAGGGUAAUGGCCUACCAAGGCGACGAUCAGUAACUGGUCUGAGAGGACGAUCAGUCACACCGGAACUGAGACACGGUCCGGACUCCUACGGGAGGCAGCAGUGGGGAAUAUUGGACAAUGGGCGAAAGCCUGAUCCAGCAAUGCCGCGUGUGUGAAGAAGGCC